UAUCAGGCAUACAGGCACGGUGGAUCUUGUUCCAUAUGAUGAAGGCGUGGUGUGAGAACACAUCAAUGAUGUUAUGGAAGUUGACCAGGGGCCAGCAGGCAGUCAUCCUUCUGCAGCUGUAAGUUCCAAUCACCUUGUCCAGGCUGUCCACGCCUCCUUUGUGGUUGUAAUCCAGGAUGAUGACUGGCUUCCUGUCCUCACGAUCACUGAUCUCAGUCGUUUUGUGCAGUGUGCUCAGGAGGACAACAUUCUUGUUCCACUUUGGGAGGCCGGUGGUAGCUGGUCCCCUACAGGACGGUGAGGUGCCGGAGGUCCCUCCUCCCCCUCUGGACAUCGAGCGGUCCCCGCCGUAUACGAUACAGGCCAAUCUGGACUCGAGACGCCGGGUGAGGAACGUGUUUGUUCCUGGUCGUGCAUUUUGGUUGUGAGCACCCUGUGUUACGUUUUAUGCAUUAAAGAGCACAGCAUCGCACUCUAUGUUUCCUGCAUCUGACUCCACACCCAUGACACCGGAGCUUUCCAAUUAUAUACAUUUUAUGAUAUCAAUAAACUUUGUGCCACACAUCAUAAUCAGUACAAGCUUAAAAAAUAUAUUUUCCAUGCAUCAUAUGUGUCC
ensembl:lncRNA